rnacentral:rRNA from 1 species
AGCUCCAAUAGCGUAUAUUAAAGUUGUUGCGGUAAAAAAGCUCGUAGUUGGAUUUCUGUUGAGGACGACCGGUCCACUCCACGAGUGCGCAUCUGGUUCGGCCUCGGCAUCCUCUCGAUAGACGUUACUGCGCUUGAUUGCGUGGUGCGGAUUUCGGGACUUUUACUUUGAGGAAAUUAGAGUGUUCACGGCAGGCUUUCGCCCGAAUAUAUUAGCAUGGAAUAAUACUAUAGGAUCUUGGUCCUAUUUUGUUGGUUUCUAGGAUUGAGAUAAUGAUUAAUAGGGACAAUUGGGGGCAUUUGUACUGACAAGUCAGAGGUGGAAUUCUUGGAUUUUGUCAUGACAAACUACUGCGAAAGCAUUUGCCAAGGAUGUUUUCA